rnacentral:rRNA from 1 species
UACAGAGGUCCCAAGCGUUGUUCGGAUUCACUGGGCGUAAAGGGUGCGUAGGCGGUCAGGUAAGUCUGUUGUGAAAUCUCCGAGCCUAACUCGGAAACUGCAAUGGAUACUAUCUGACUAGAGGAAUGGAGGGGAGACUGGAAUUUACGGUGUAGCAGUGAAAUGCGUAGAGAUCGUAAGGAAGACCAGUGGCGAAGGCGGGUCUCUGGACAGUUCCUGACACUGAGGCACGAAGGCCAGGGGAGCAAACGGG